GACGAACCGAGCGAACGUUAUUCGGAAUCACUGGGCUUAAAGGGCGCGUAGGCGGCUCGGCACGUCCGUUGUGAAAUCGCCCGGCUCAACUGGGCGGGGUCGGCGGAUACGGCCGAGCUGGAGCAAGCUAGGGGGUAAUGGAAUUCCCGGUGUAGUGGUGGAAUGCGUAGAUAUCGGGAGGAACACCGAUGGCGAAGGCAGGUCUCUGGGCUGACACUGACGCUCAUGCACGAAAGCGUGGGGAGCAAACAGG
rnacentral:rRNA from 1 species